rnacentral:rRNA from 1 species
CCAAUAGCGUAUAUUAAAGUUGUUGCAGUUAAAAAGCUCGUAGUUGAACUUCGGGGUUCACCCAUUGGUCAGGCUUAAUUGUCUGUACUGGUGAGAUGAGUCUCUACCUUCUGAGGAACUUUCAUGCCAUUUAUUUGGUGUGAUUGGAAAUCAGGACUGUUACUUUGAAAAAAUUAGAGUGUUUAAAGCAGGCUAACGUCUGAAUACAUUAGCAUGGAAUAAUGAAAUAGGACGGAUUGAUUCUAUUUCGUUGGUUUCUAGGAUCACCGUAAUGAUUAAUAGGGAUAGUUGGGGGCAUUAGUAUUCAAUUGUCAGAGGUGAAAAUCUUGGAUUUAUUGAAGACUAACUACUGCGAAAGCAUUCGCCAAGGAUGUUUUCAUUAAUCAAGAACGAAAGUUAGGGGAUCGAAGACGAUCAGAUACCGUCGUAGUCUUAACCAUAAACUAUGCCGACUAGGGAUCGGACGCAGUUAACUUUAUAAUGACGUGUUCGGCACCUUACG